UACGUAGGUGGCUAGCGUUAUCCGGAAUUAUUGGGCGUAAAGAGCGCGCAGGUGGUUGAUUAAGUCUGAUGUGAAAGCCCACGGCUUAACCGUGGAGGGUCAUUGGAAACUGGUCGACUUGAGUGCAGAAGAGGGAAGUGGAAUUCCAUGUGUAGCGGUGAAAUGCGUAGAGAUAUGGAGGAACACCAGUGGCGAAGGCGGCUUCCUGGUCUGUAACUGACACUGAGGCGCGAAAGCGUGGGGAGCAAACAGGAUUAGAUA
rnacentral:rRNA from 1 species